AUUGAACGCUGGCGGCAUGCUUUACACAUGCAAGUCGAACGGUAGCAGGCCUUCGGGUGCUGACGAGUGGCGAACGGGUGAGUAAUGCAUCGGAACAUACCCAGUCGUGGGGGAUAACGUAGCGAAAGUUACGCUAAUACCGCAUACGUCCUGAGGGAGAAAGCGGGGGAUCGCAAGACCUCGCGCGAUUGGAGUGGCCGAUGUCAGAUUAGCUAGUUGGUGGGGUAAAGGCCCACCAAGGCGACGAUCUGUAGCGGGUCUGAGAGGAUGAUCCGCCACACUGGGACUGAGACACGGCCCAGACUCCUACGGGAGGCAGCAGUGGGGAAUUUUGGACAAUGGGCGAAAGCCUGAUCCAGCAAUGCCGCGUGGGUGAAGAAGGCCUUCGGGUUGUAAAGCCCUUUCGGAUAGAAAGAAAACUCUUACCCUAACAUAGUGAGAGAAUGACGGUACUAUCAUAAGAAGCACCGGCUAACUACGUGCCAGCAGCCGCCGUAAGAC
rnacentral:rRNA from 1 species